rnacentral:lncRNA from 1 species
AAUCCUAAAAUUAAAUAAUCCUUAAUAAUUAUCUUAAUAUUAAUUAUCCUAAUAUAAUUAAAAUAGAGUCUGAUAGAAUAAAAUCUCUUCUUUUUGCAUUUCAACCCUUGUUUCCUCCAUGCUUGCACUUUUGGCACCAAUUUUUCUUUGUGUCGCACAUUGGCCCAUUUUAUCUCUAAAUUCACGCUUUUGGCCCUUAAUUUUGCUUUUGCCUCAAAUUUAGUCCCUAUGAGAUAAAAGAACAUAAAUAGCUCAAAUUAGCAGGAUCAUACUCAGAAUAAAUACAUAAUUAAUACAUAAAAAUACGUUAUUCUAGAGUGCUAUCAAAUACAAAAUAUUAAAUUUCAGUAUAACAAUAAAAUAUUUAAAUUAAAUUAGAUUAAACAUAAAAAAAUUCUUACCAUUUGCAAUUGGUCGAUCGAAAUGUGCUUCCCAUCCAAACGCAUUAGAGAUUUUGUCAUUACUAAUUUCGAAAAACACGAAGUAAAU